rnacentral:rRNA from 1 species
UACGAAGGGUGCAAGCGUUACUCGGAAUUACUGGGCGUAAAGCGUGCGUAGGUGGUGAGUUAAGUCUGUCGUGAAAGCCCCGGGCUAACCUGGGAUGGCGAUGGAUACUGGCUCGCUAGAGUGCGGUAGAGGAGAGUGGAAUUCCCGGUGUAGCAGUGAAAUGCGUAGAGAUCGGGAGGAACAUCAGUGGCGAAGGCGGCUCACUGGACCGGUACUGACGCUGAUGCGCGAAAGCGUGGGGAGCAAACAGG